rnacentral:sRNA from 1 species
GCCGGGCAUGGUGGCGCAUGCCUGUAGUCCCAGCUACUCAGGAGACUGAGGCAGUAGGACCGCUUGAGCUCAGGAGACUGAGGUUGCUGUGAGCUAGGCUGAUGCCAUGGCACUGUAGCCCAGGCAACAGAGUGAGACUGUGUCUCAAAAAAAAAAAAAAAUUAGCUGGGCAUGGUGGCGCAUGCCUGUAGUCCCAGCUACUUGGGAAGCUGAGUCAGUAGGAUUGCUUGAGUCCAGAAGUUUGAAGUUGCUCUGAACUAGGCUGACGCCAUGGCACUCUAGCCUGGGCAACAGAGUGAGACUCUGUCUCA